rnacentral:rRNA from 1 species
GCGGUGGAGCAUGUGGUUUAAUUCGACGCAACGCGAAAACCUUACCUGGGUUUGACAUGCCGAGUACCCGAUGGAAACAUUGGGGUGCCCCGUAAGGGGAACUUGGACACAGGUGCUGCAUGGCUGUCGUCAGCUCGUGCCGUGAGGUGUUGGGUUAAGUCCCGCAACGAGCGCAACCCUCACCCUUAGUUGCCAUCAUUAAGUUGGGCACCCUAAGGGAACUGCCGCAGUUAAUGCGGAGGAAGGUGGGGAUGACGUCAAGUCCUCAUGGCCCUUAUAUCCAGGGCUACACACGUGCUACAAUGGGCGGUACAAAGGGUCGCGAACCUGUAAGGGGGAGCUAACCCCAGAAAACCGUUCUCAGUUCGGAUUGGAGUCUGCAACCCGACUCCAUGAAGUUGGAAUCGCUAGUAAUCGCGGAUCAGAACGCCGCGGUCGAAUACGUUCCCGGGCCUU